AGAGGAUGAGGAGGGACAGACCUCUGGUGUGCCAGUUGUUCCGCCCGGAGCAGCGCUGGGUAGCUAUGUCUGGUUGGGAUAAGCGCUGAAAGCAUAUAAGCGCGAAGCCCACCCCAAGAUGAGAUCUCCCAUCCUUCUUCGGAAGGAGUAAAGCCGCAAGUAGACUACUUGCUUGAUAGGCGGCGUGUGUAAGCGGAGUAAUCCGUUUAGCUAAGCCGUACUAAUGGCUGAGGCCUUGACUUA
rnacentral:rRNA from 1 species